rnacentral:rRNA from 1 species
UACGGGGGGGGGUAAGCGUUGUUCGGAAUUACUGGGCGUAAAGGGCUCGUAGGCGGCCAACUAAGUCAUACGUGAAAUCCCUCAGCUUAACUGGGGAACUGCGUGUGAUACUGGAUGGCUUGGAUUUGGGAGAGGGAUGCGGAAUUCCAGGUGUAGCGGUGAAAUGCGUAGAGUAUCUGGAGGAACACCGGUGGCGAAGGCGGCAUCCUGGACCAAUAUUGACGCUGAGGAGCGAAAGCCAGGGGAGCAAAGCGGG